rnacentral:rRNA from 1 species
UACGUAGGGACCAAGCGUUGUUCGGAUUUACUGGGCGUAAAGGGCGCGUAGGCGGCUUAACAAGUCACUUGUGAAAUCUCCGGGCUUAACUCGGAACGGCCAAGUGAAACUGUCAAGCUAGAGUGCAGAAGGGGCAAUCGGAAUUCUUGGUGUAGGUGAAAUGCGUAGAUAUCGAGAGGAACACCUGCGGCGAAGGCGGGUAGCUGGGCCGACACUGACGCUGAGGCGCGAAAGCCAGGGGAGCGAACGGG